rnacentral:lncRNA from 1 species
AUGCAGCUAACUUUGAUGUCAUGUAGUCAAACUGAUCGGGAUUAUUGUAAUGCUGAUCCACUUCUCCCGUCUUUCUUUGGAAGUGUAUGCAAGCCCAGUUCUUUCAGUCCUUUCCUGGCUAAUCCAGCAAGCUGUUAUGUGGCUUCCCCUGACUACCUCAGAUGUGGUUUCUGUGUGUGUGAUUUCUGUGCCCAUCUGUGUUACCAUAAAUAUAAACACCAUUCAAGACUCUUUCAUAAAUAUCACAAACAAUUUCCCAGGUCUACUGUUUCCAGCCUUUGCCACUCUUGCUCAAGGGAGUUAGAAACACAGAUUAAACCUGAUGAAGACUGGUUCCCCAACUCUCAUUCUUCAGAGCUUUAG